rfam:Brassica napus, WGS project CCCW01000000 data, contig: 24190
GGAAUAUAAGAAUCCGUCUCUUAAUUUUUAAUUAAAAAAAUUAAGAACCGGCUCUUAAAACUCUUAUUUAAGAGCAUGUUCUUAGCUUUUUUAGUUAAAAGUUAAAAGACGAGUUCUUAUAUUCU